CCUACGGGGGGCAGCAGUAGGGAAUCUUUCACAAUGGGCGAAAGCCUGAUGGAGCAACGCCGCGUGCAGGAUGAAGGCCUUCGGGUUGUAAACUGCUUUUAUAAGCGAGAAAUAUGAUGGUAACUUAUGAAUAAGGAUCGGCGAACUACGUGCCAGCAGUCGCGGUCAUACGUAGGAUCCGAGCAUUAUCCGGAGUGACUGGGUGUAAAGAGUUGCGUAGGUGGCAUAAUAAGUAGCUAGUGAAAUCUGGUGGCUCAACCAUUCAGACUAUUAGCUAAACUGUUAGGCUCGAGACCGUUAGAGGUAACUGGAAUUUGUAGUGUAGGAGUGAAAUCCGUAGAUAUUAGAAAGAACACCGAUAGCGUAGGCAGGUUGCUGGGACGGUUCUGACACUAAGGCACGAAAGCGUAGGGAGCAAACGGGAUUAGAUACCCGAGUAGUC
rnacentral:rRNA from 1 species